GAUGAACGCUAGCGGGAGGCCUAACACAUGCAAGCCGAGCGGUAUUGUUUCUUCGGAAAUGAGAGAGCGGCGUACGGGUGCGUAACACGUGUGCAACCUGCCUUUAUCUGGGGGAUAGCCUUUCGAAAGGAAGAUUAAUACUCCAUAACAUAUUGAACGGCAUCGUUUAAUAUUGAAAGCUCCGGCGGAUAGAGAUGGGCACGCGCAAGAUUAGCUAGUUGGUGAGGUAACGGCUCACCAAGGCGAUGAUCUUUAGGGGGCCUGAGAGGGUGAUCCCCCACACUGGUACUGAGACACGGACCAGACUCCUACGGGAGGCAGCAGUGAGGAAUAUUGGUCAAUGGGUGCAAGCCUGAACCAGCCAUCCCGCGUGAAGGACGACUGCCCUAUGGGUUGUAAACUUCUUUUGUAUAGGGAUAAACCUACCCUCGUGAGGGUAGCUGAAGGUACUAUACGAAUAAGCACCGGCUAACUCCGUGCCAGCAGCCGCGGUAAAAC
rnacentral:rRNA from 1 species